UACAGAGGUCCCAAGCGUUGUUCGGAUUCACUGGGCGUAAAGGGUGCGUAGGUGGCCAGGUAAGUUUGGUGUGAAAGCUCGGAGCUUAACUCCGAAAAGUCAUUGAAUACUAUCUGGCUGGAGGGUCGGAGGGGAGACUGGAAUUCUCGGUGUAGCAGUGAAAUGACGUAGAUAUCGAGAGGAACACCAGUGGCGAAGGCGAGUCUCUGGACGACUCCUGACACUGAGGCACGAAAGCUAGGGGAGCAAACAGG
rnacentral:rRNA from 1 species